GUGCAGCAGUUGCGAAAACUUGUCAAUGCACGAAAGUGUGGACGGGCUACCCCGAGUGCCGUCCGCUGAGGAUGGCUUUUCUCUGCUGUAAGAAGGCAGAGGAAUAAGGAGAGGGCAAGUCUGGUGUCAGCCGCCGCGGUAAUACCAGCUCUCCGAGUGGUAGGGAUGAUUAUUGGGCUUAAAGCGUCCGUAGCUGGCCUUUCAAGUCUCUUGUCAAAUCCAGCGAUUCAAUCGUUGGACUGCGGGAGAUACUGUUAGGCUAGGGGGCGGGAGAAGCCGACGGUAUUUCCGGGGUAGGGGUAAAAUCCUAUAAUCCCGGGAAGACCACCAGUGGCGUAGGCGGUCGGCUAGCACGCGCUCGACAGUGAGGGACGAAAGCUGGGGUAGCGAACCGGAUUAGAUUUGGAAAGGAGAAAUAUCCUUCCACUGAAGACCCGGGUAGUCC
rnacentral:rRNA from 1 species